AGGGCUGGUCAGGGACAGGCGAGGGUUCCAGGAGAAAGCAGGACGGGAGUCGCAGGUACAGAACGGGUCAGGGAGCAGGUGAGGCAGGCUGGUCAGGGACAGGCAGGGUCGAAACCGGGAGAGCAAUCUGGAGGGUAAUGCGGGAAAGACUAGCAUGCUGCAAAGUACGAUCUGGCACUGAGGUGAGAGUGAAGUGUGCCUAAAUACUAAUGGAGCUGAUAGGUUUAACAGAGUGAGAGAGAGAGACAGGGUGUGACUACCAGGUGACUAAGGAAUGUUAAUGCAGAAAAUAGUGGGACAGCUAUGUCAGUUCAAUUACCGACAAAGUUUGACGACAUAAGGCUUCUCCUUCCUGGGUACACUUGAGAGAAUCUUCUGAAGAGUCUGAACCUGUGAUUAGCUGUGGAUCAGACUGGAUGUAUGUGGACACACCUAGCCUCAGCAAACUGCAGUCAGCCAUGCAAACCAAAGUGACUUCAUGUGGC